ensembl:miRNA mir-2217.2 ncRNA
CAGAGCGGGCAGUCGGUGUCAAUCUGCAACAAUAGCAGGUUGACCCUUGUGCUUGUUUCGGC